rnacentral:rRNA from 1 species
AUUGAACGCUGGCGGUAGGCCUAACACAUGCAAGUCGAGCGGCAGAAGAGUGAUUGCUCCUGGAUUCAGGGGCGGACUGGUGAGUAAUGCCGGGGAAUCUCCGUGUUAACGUGUGAGAACGUCCGGACACAGGCGCUAAUACCGCAUAACUCCUGAGGGCGAAAGUGGGAGAGCUUCGGACCUCCCGAUAUCACAUGAUCCUAGGUCGGAUUAGCUAGUUGGUGGGGUAAAGGCCUACCAAGGCGACGAUCCGUAGCUGGUCUGAGAGGAUGAUCAGCCACACUGGAACUGAGACACGGUCCAGACUCCUACGGGAGGCAGCAGUGGGGAAUAUUGGACAAUGGGCGCAAGCCUGAUCCAGCCAUGCCGCGUGUGUGAAGAAGGCCUUCGGGUUGUAAAGCCCUUUUAGUUGGGAAGAAGAGCAGCAAGUUAAUACCCCGCUGUUUUGACGUUACCAACAGAAUAAGCACCGGCUAACUUCGUG